CUCCCAGCACCCUCAGAAGAGAGGACCAGCUCCUCGGGCGGCCAUUCCAGGCCUACCUCUGACCCCCUAGUCCCUGUUCUCACCAGGCACAGAGAGUUCCCGGAACUCCCCAAACUCAUUCUCCUCUCCAUGCAUGCAUUUGUACGAACUGCCCCUGCGCCUUCGAGUCCGUUCCACACCUUAUGCCACUGAUGAGGGGAGCGGAACCCCUCCACAUAAUGCGACGGAGUGAGCACCCUGAAGUGCGCGAUGAGAGCGAACAUCCCAGGACACACCAACCAGGCCGGGGUGCGCUUGAGGGAUGCCCCCACUCACCUGAACCCGGUCCAUCAGCACCGCCGCUGCCAUGAGAAGCGGAUGAACAGUCUGUGCCCUGUGGGCUCAGCCGAAACCCCACGCCUCCACCGCGCUGGACGCCCUCGGGCUGAGUGUAGCACUCCAAGUCUCAAUCUACCCGGUGUAAAAACGCUCACAAGACUAAGGCGGCUGCUUCUGGGGGAGACAAGGACAAGAGGACGUGUGUGGAGGCCUCGGUUCCACGAGAGCCGCGUAGAAAGCCGACCCGAUCUCUAGAACUCAGCCUUCACAACCAGAAUGCACGGACCGGGCAUAGGAAAAAUACGUCACGACGGCGACGCCAGAAGUCUCGCCCCUGCAGCCCAGAGCAGCAGGAAACGCCCAGUUUCUGGGCUGUCAUUGGCUGCACGCCGGCUAACAAUGAGCUGGGCACAGAUUUCUGGGUAACGUAGUUUGUACCCUGCAUCCAACCAGGCAACGAGCGCCUUUCGGGUUCUCCCGGAUGUCUGCCAAGAGGCGUCGUGCAGGGAGGGGGAGAAAAGACUGGGAAAACGAUAUCUCGGAGGCCACAGCUGCUUUUAAAGGGUAUGCACCCUGAUUUCCAUGGCCACCUGGGACAAUGCCACGCCACUGAAGUCGCCAGCAAGGGACCCAUUCUUCAAUCCUGCUUCUGAGGCCCUGGGAAACCUGCUUCACCUCUCUCAGAUUUGGGGAUUGAAACGUAUUAAUAAAUUGAACGUUGUCUGUA
ensembl:lncRNA novel transcript, antisense to ZNF304